UUGCUUUGGCAGCACAUACACUAAAACUGGAAUGAUAUAGAGAAGAUUAGUGCAGCCCCUGCACAAAGAUGACAUGCAAAUUUGUGAAGUAUUCCAUAGUUUU
ensembl:snRNA U6 U6 spliceosomal RNA